GAUUAACGCUAGCGGCAGGCCUAAUACAUGCAAGUCGAGGGGCAGCAGGGUGUAGCAAUACAUCGCUGGCGACCGGCGCACGGGUGCGUAACACGUAUGCAACCUACCUUUAACUGGGGAAUAGCCCUCCGAAAGGAGGAUUAACACCGCAUAACAUCACGAGACGGCAUCGCCUUGUGAUCAAACCUCCGGGGGGUUAAAGAUGGGCAUGCGUCCGAUUAGCUAGUUGGCGGGGUAACGGCCCACCAAGGCGACGAUCGGUAGGGGGUCUGAGAGGAUGAUCCCCCACACUGGUACUGAGACACGGACCAGACUCCUACGGGAGGCAGCAGUAAGGAAUAUUGGACAAUGGUCGCAAGACUGAUCCAGCCAUGCCGCGUGCAGGAUGAACGAUCUAUGAUCUGUAAACUAGCUUUUGUUCGGGAAUAAACCCCUUCACGUGUGGAGGGCUGAAUGUACCGAAAGAAUAAGGGUCGGCUAACUUCGUGCCAGCAGCC
rnacentral:rRNA from 1 species